CUCUAGAGUGUUGGGGAUGUUGAGUUUGUCGAGUUCCUCUGUGUACUGGAGGCAUUCUGUAAAGAUAUGGUUCACUGAUAGUUCGGUACCGCAGGUGGUGCACAUCGUGAACAAAAAAAUAAUAAGCCACUAAUAUAAACGGAAAGUUCGUUAAACCGUACAUAUUAUAAUUUUCAGUUCAUCGGAGUGAGAUGAUUUGAUGGAGAUGGAUGAAGAUAGCUGUUUCUUCGGCGAUGGCGGCACUCUAGCUACGUUUCACCGGAAGAGUAGAUGUUUACGAAAAUGGUAUUCGUCAGUGAACAUUUUCCAACUGGGAAUAAUAUAUCAUAAGCAGACUGAAAUGUGUGAGCGUUUCAGUGUUUCGAAGACUAAGUU